AUUGAACGCUGGCGGCAUGCCUUACACAUGCAAGUCGAACGGUAACGGGCCUUCGGGUGCCGACGAGUGGCGAACGGGUGAGUAAUACAUCGGAACGUGCCCGAUCGUGGGGGAUAACGAGGCGAAAGCUUUGCUAAUACCGCAUACGAUCUACGGAUGAAAGCAGGGGACCGCAAGGCCUUGCGCGGACGGAGCGGCCGAUGGCAGAUUAGGUAGUUGGUGGGAUAAAAGCUUACCAAGCCGACGAUCUGUAGCUGGUCUGAGAGGAUGAUCAGCCACACUGGGACUGAGACACGGCCCAGACUCCUACGGGAGGCAGCAGUGGGGAAUUUUGGACAAUGGGCGCAAGCCUGAUCCAGCCAUGCCGCGUGCAGGAUGAAGGCCUUCGGGUUGUAAACUGCUUUUGUACGGAACGAAAAGCCUUCUUUUAAUACAGGAGGGUCAUGACGGUACCGUAAGAAUAAGUACCGGCUAACUACGUG
rnacentral:rRNA from 1 species